rnacentral:tRNA from 2 species
GAUUAGCUCAGUUGGUAGAGCACUCGGCUGUUAACCGAUAGGUCGUAGGUUCGAGUCCUACAUC